UGUCGGUCCCCUCGCAAUGAUAGGCUGCGAACCCCGCCAGGCCCGGAAGGGAGCAACGGUAGUAGCUGACUCGUGUGCCGGGGUGUGGCUGGCGGAG
rfam:Thalassolituus sp. HI0120 HI0120_c18, whole genome shotgun sequence.